rnacentral:rRNA from 1 species
GACGGAGGGGGCAAGCGUUGUCCGGAAUCACUGGGCGUAAAGCGCACGUAGGCGGGACGGUGCGUCGGUGCUGAAAGCGCCAGGCUUAACCUGGCGAGGCGUGCCGAUACGACCGACCUCGAGGCAGACAGAGGGUGGCGGAAUUCCGGGUGUAGUGGUGAAAUGCGUAGAGAUCCGGAGGAACGCCGGUGGCGAAAGCGGCCACCUGGGUCUGACCUGACGCUGAGGCGCGAAAGCCAGGGGAGCGAACGGG